rfam:Fervidicella metallireducens AeB contig00050, whole genome shotgun sequence.
AUGAAUAUGGAAAUUAUGCCGUAGACAGUAGGUGCAGUAAUGCGUAACGGGUAACCAACCUACCGAGGAUUUAGAUAGGGUUAUUAGGACCUCUCUAUGUCUACGGAGAGGUCCUUUGUUAUGCACAA